GACGAACGCUGGCGGCGUGCCUCAAACAUGCAAGUCGAGCGAGGUGAAACCGAACCGCAAGGUGAGGUUGAACCUAGCGGCGAACGGGUGAGUAACACGUGGGUAACCUGCCUGGAAGAUCGGGAUAACGGCUCGAAAGAGUCGCUAAUACCGGAUAAUGUCCUGGUGCUGCAUGGCACCGGGAAGAAAGGGGAAACCCGCUUUCAGAUCGGGCCCGCGCCCCAUCAGCUAGUUGGUAAGGUAACGGCUUACCAAGGCGACGACGGGUAGCCGGUCUGAGAGGACGAUCGGCCACACUGGGACUGAGAUACGGCCCAGACUCCUACGGGAGGCAGCAGUUGGGAAUCUUAGGCAAUGGGCGAAAGCCUGACCUAGCGACGCCGCGUGAGGGAAGAAGGCCUUCGGGUCGUAAACCUCUGUCAUGGGGGACGAAGAAAGUGACGGUACCCCAGGAGGAAGCCCCUGCUAACUACGUG
rnacentral:rRNA from 1 species